rnacentral:rRNA from 1 species
CCUACGGGAGGCAGCAGUGAGGAAUAUUGGUCAAUGGCCGCAAGCCUGAACCAGCCAAGUCGCGUGAGGGAAGAAGGUCCUGAGCGUUGUAAACCUCUUUUGUCGGGGAGCAAAAGACCGCACGCGUCGGGUUCCGAGAGUACCCGGAGAAAAAGCAUCGGCUAACUCCGUGCCAGCAGCCGCGGUAAUACGGAGGAUGCGAGCGUUAUCCGGAUUCAUUGGGUUUAAAGGGUGCGCAGGCGGACGUUUAAGCCAGCGGUGAAAUUGCGAGGCUCAACCCCGUCGAGCCGUUGAAACUGGUGUUCUUGAGUGCGCGGGAAGUAUGCGGAAUGCGUGGUGUAGCGGUGAAAUGCAUAGAUAUCGCGCAGAACUCCGAUUGCGAAGGCAGCAUGCCGGGGCUCAACUGACGCUGAGGCACGAAAGUGCGGGUAUCGAACAGGAUUAGAUACCCCUGUAGUC